UACGAGGGGGGCAAAUGUUGUUCGGAAUCACUGGGCGUAAAGGGAGCGUAGGCGGGUUCUUAAGUUAGGUGUUUAAUCCCGGGGCCCAACCCCGGACCGGCACUUAAAACUGGGAAUCUUGAAUAGUGGAGAGGUCGGUGGAAUUGGGGGUGUAGCGGUGGAAUGCGUAGAGAUCCCCAAGAACACCAGUUGCGAAGGCGGCCGACUGGACCGAAACUGACGCUGAGGCGCGAAAGCCAGGGGAGCAAACGGG
rnacentral:rRNA from 1 species